UACAAUCAAUAAAGCUGUCAUGAGAUUUAUACUGUUUGAGCCCUGCAGUCCAGUGCUCACACACUGUUCACAAAUACUAUAAUCACUGAAGCUGUUUACACUGCAGAAUGGAUCUCUUAUUUACACUGGUCUACACUGUGUUGAUUAUAAUGGGUGCUUCCCAGCUGUGGUGGCAGCCUGAAGGGGAACAUUCCGGGAACAUUCAGGCCUGUGUCCAGGAUAUGGGCAGCUUUCAUCCGCCUUAUCGAGCUUAGGUCACAAUCCCACAGAUCACGCCCGGGUCUCUUGGCCCUGCACGCACGUACCUUUCAACUCCAUGGAAAGAUGACAAACAAAGAGGGCCUGGCCUGUUUGACAGAUGUGGACUCAGUGAGGAUUUUGCAACCAGUCUUAGCAAUUUCCUGGUCUGCUUUCAUCUGAGAUGCACAGACUCACCAGGUCCUUAGGAAAGGCUGUCCACACUGCCUUAAAGAAAU